UUUAGCCAUCACAGGAGCAAGUGAAAGAAUCAACAGAAUACUGUUUGCAAAUGCUGGAGAAGAUGGACCAGGCCCGAUUAAAGGGCGACUAUCACGAGUUGGUGAAGAUCUGCAAGGAGUGCAUUGAGAAGACGGAGCCCGUACUGGCUGACACUCACAUUUACCUGCUCAGGAUGUGGAGCACCAUGAGUGAGGUGCAGGCCUACCUGCAGUACUUUGAAGAUGCUGCCGAAUACGCCCGCAAAAUGGUGGAUGGCUACAU